UACGUAGGGGGCAAGCGUUGCCCGGAAUUAUUGGGCGUAAAGAGCGCGUAGGCGGUCCGGUAAGUCGGUUGUGAAAGUCGGGGGCUCAACCCUCGGAUGCCGAUCGAUACUGUCGGGCUAGAGUCCGGAAGAGGCGAGUGGAAUUCCUGGUGUAGCGGUGAAAUGCGCAGAUAUCAGGAGGAACACCAAUGGCGAAGGCAGCUCGCUGGGACGGUACUGACGCUGAGGCGCGAAAGCGUGGGGAGCAAACAGG
rnacentral:rRNA from 1 species